rnacentral:misc_RNA from 1 species
GAUGAAGAACGCAGCGAAAUGCGAUAAGUAGUGUGAAUUGCAGAAUUCAGUGAAUCAUCGAAUCUUUGAACGCACAUUGCGCCCUUUGGUAUUCCACAGGGCAUGCCUGUUCGAGCGUCAUUUGUACCCUCAAGCUUUGCUUGGUGUUGGGCGUCUUGUCUCUAGCUUUGCUGGAGACUCGCCUUAAAGUAAUUGGCAGCCGGCCUACUGGUUUCGGAGCGCAGCACAAGUCGCACUCUCUAUCAGCAAAGGUCUAGCAUCCAUUAAGCCUUUUUUUCAACUUUUGACCUCGGAUCAGGUAGGGAUACCCGCUGAACUUAAGCAUAUCAAUAAGCGGAGGA